ACUUAAUUCUCCAGAACUCUUCAUUCAGCCGAUACUCAACACCGUUAUUUUGUUUUACACACUAAAUCUCAUACCUUAGCAAGUACUUGGCAACCAAAGCAACGUUGGACUGCAAAUUUAUGUGUAGAUUCGUGAGAAUGGGGAUUGGGAUGACGACACUAUUGAUGAAUUUUUCCAAAAAAUGCAUAGGCGAUGCAGUGGCGCAGUAGGUAGGGCUGUCGCCUCACAGCAAGAAGGUCGCUGGUUCAGUUGGCGUUUCUGUGCGGAGUUUGCAUGUUCUCCCUGCGUUCGUGUGGGUUUAAAGACAUGUGGUACAGGUGAAUUGGGUUGGCUAAAUUGUCCAUAGUGUAUGAGUGUGAAUGAGUCUGUGUGAUUGUUUCCUAGAGAUGGGUUGCGGCUGGAAGGGCAUCCGCUGCGUAAAAACGUGCUGGAUAAGUUUGAUUGA